UGUGGAGAUGGUGGCAAAACCCUUGAAUACACUAAAAAAUGUUAAGUUGCACAUUUCAAAUCAGUGAAUUACAUAGUAUGUAAAAUGUAUUACAAUAAUUCUGUUGAAAAAAAAAAAAGAAUCCCUUGGUUCAAUCAGCUAUUUUUGGUGAUGUGGAUGAUAAGGGCGAGAGUUGGGUGAUAGCCUAAACCAAACAGAACCAGUCCUGUGUCCUUAGAUCUCUUCCCAGAAAAGGGGAGUCAUGAUGUGCUUGGAAGCAACCCUAAGAGGUAUCUUCUACAUUAGGAAUUUCCAUUAUAAAGAAAUAAAUGAAAGAGAAAUCCUGAAACCUUGAGGGUUAGGCAUGAUCUUAUAAAAGUGCUCAAAACCAUCAUUAUCCCUCACAGAACAGUGUAUCUGUAUUUGCUUUAAACCAUGACAUGACUUAAAAAUAAUUGAAUUCUCCACAUCCUAUACCUAAAUGCAAUUUCUAAUUAUUACUUGGCUAUCCAUAUAAAUCCUAAGUAAAUCUGUGGUGUUUCUUUUCCCUUGCAUCAGUACAAUAUGAAUAAAUGUAAAUAAUUGUUAUGUCUGAUUUACAUUGUGUUUUGUUAAGCAGCUAAAAGUAAAUAUUGAAAAUAGAAGGAAAUGGCAACCCACUCUAGUAUUCUUGCCUGAAGAAUCCCAUGGACAGAGGAGCCUGGCAGGCUACAGUCCAUGGGGUCACAAGAGUCGGACACGACUUAGCGACUAAACCACCACCACCACCAUGCAAGUUUGAACAGCUGUUUGCCUAAAGGAAGGCUAUAGAUCUUAAAGUGCAGGGCUAACUGAAUCAAAGCAAAUUACUAUCCUAAGUAUGCAGAUUUCCUUACAUUGAAUGAUACUCAAUUUUCUUUGUUUGUUUGUUUUGUUGCCACACCUUGCAGCUCCUGGGGAUCACUGACCAGGGACUAAACCCUGGUUCCGCACAGUGAAAGUCUUAACCAAUGGACCACCAAGGAAUUCCCAAUGGUACUCAGUUUUAACCAUCCUAUUUCAUGAUUGCCUAGAAGAGUUAAGAAACUGUUGUGAAUGUCUCCAGCACUCAAUAAAAUUGCUCUCUAGAUCCCUACAUUUGACAAGUAGGCUCCAGAAUUCAGCCGUGAGCAAGGACACCACAUUUGCUCUCCAAAUGCAAUCUAUGCCCACACUUUUGACAUUAACGCAUACCUAUAUUUUUACUUCAUGGGCAGUUUUCUCCAGUUGGAAGAAGAGAGAAGAAGGAGUUAGAUUCCAGUGAGAAGGAUUUUAUACACCUUGCUGGCUUUGAGAUUUAGGGGCCCACAUGCAAGAGCCAGAAUGACAGCUCUAGGAGUAAAGACAAGUCCCCAGUUUGCAGCAAGCCAGGCAAUACAGACACUGGCCCUGCCAUCAUAAGGAACUGGAUUCUGCCAACAAUCAGACUGAGUUUGGAAAUGGAAUCCUCCCAGAGUCUCUAAAUAAGAAUCCAGCCAACACCUUGAUUUCCAAGAAAUCCAGAGCAGAGAACCCAGCUUAGCCAUCUCUGAUCUACAGAACUAUGAGAUAGUAAGUUUGUGUUGUUUUAAGCACUAACUUUAUGGCAAUUUGUUACCGCAGCCAUAGAUAACUAAUACAAACAGAUAACUAUAGUGUUUGUCAGGUAACAGGCACUGUGUCAAGCAUUUGAGAUGCAUCACCUGGAUCAGUCUCACAAUGUCUAUUGUCCUGGUUUCAAAAUUGAGCAAUAAGACCCAAGUCACCGAGCUGGCCAGUCCCCUCAGGACCAUGAUAGGAAUCAACCCUCUCUAUGUGACUGCAGAACCUUUGACCAUUUCUAUACAAUGGCCCACUGCUGCUAUUCAAUAAUCAUGUGUAUAGAGGAUCCAAGUUUUAAAUACACACAAACAUACUUAUACAUUCACAUAUGUAUAUAUAUUAAAAAUUUCUGAAAGAAAAUAUACCAAAAUAUUCAGAAUUGUAUCUUUAGAUAGUAGGAUUAUCACUUCUUACUUCAUUAUGGUUUCCUGUUUAUCUGAAUUACUUUACAAUGAGCAUAUUCUACUUGCAUAACAUUUUUAUUUCCUUUUUUUUUAGUUAAAAGAUGAAGGUGAAAAUUUAUUAAGGAGAAUCCGACCUGAGUACCAAUCAUUUCUUUCAUCUUAUUCCCAGAGACUCCCACACUUAAAGACUCAUCACAUACCCAGGUCUCGGGCUCUAGCUGCAGCCCUCCAAGUGCUUCCGUCCCUUUCAGGCUCCCAGGUCCGCAAAGGAAGGCCAAGAACUAUCGUGGGUCCUCUCUGAGGAUGGAAGCCCAUCUCACUCCCUGAUAGGGGGCCCGAGCUCUGGUGUCAGAGUCUAAGGGACACAUUUCUCCUGUCUUUUCUCUUCAGGUUUCUCUACAUUAGUGACACCAAUCAAACCUCUGUGAUAGAUCCUGUUAGACAGUCUAAGAGCUUUCCCCAACUCCUUUCCCUCUUGCCUACCUGUCACUAUAGUGGCUAGGAGAAUGAGAAACUAGAUUCCCCAGCCUCCCUUGCAAGUAAGGGUAACUGUGUGCCUCAGGUCUGAUUUUGAGACUAGAGUGAAAACCCACCCGGGAGUUUCCUGGGAAAUGCUUUUUUGCUUCCUUAAAUAAAGAGACAGAAGCAAUCUGUGAAGCUUUCUAC
ensembl:lncRNA